ensembl:lncRNA
GAGGUUUAAUUCUGACUUGGGGCCUGUAAUGUAUAUUACUCUAGGUUUAAGACUGACUUGGGGUCUGUACUGUAUAUUACUCUAGGUUAAAGACUGACUUGGGGUCUGUAAUGUAUAUUACUCUAGGUUUAAGACUGACUUGGGGCCUGUAAUGUAUAUUACUCUACGUUUAAGACUGACUUGGGGCCUGUAAUGUAUAUUACUCUUGGUUUAAGACUGACUUGGGGUCUGUAAUGUAUAUUACUCUAGGUUUAAGACUGACUUGGGGCCUGUAAUGUAUAUUACUCUAGGUUUAAGACUGACUUGGGGCCUGUAAUGUAUAUUACUCUUGGUUUAAGACUGACUUGGGGUCUGUACUGUA